GGUUUCGUGGUGUAGUUGGUUAUAAUCACGUCAGUCUAACACACUGAAGGUCUCCGGUUCGAGUCGGGGCAAAACCA